rnacentral:rRNA from 1 species
AGUCGAGCGGUAACACAGGGAGCUUGCUCCUGGGUGACGAGCGGCGGACGGGUGAGUAAUGUCUGGGAAACUGCCUGAUGGAGGGGGAUAACUACUGGAAACGGUAGCUAAUACCGCAUAACGUCUUCGGACCAAAGUGGGGGACCUUCGGGCCUCAUGCCAUCAGAUGUGCCCAGAUGGGAUUAGCUAGUAGGUGGGGUAAUGGCUCACCUAGGCGACGAUCCCUAGCUGGUCUGAGAGGAUGACCAGCCACACUGGAACUGAGACACGGUCCAGACUCCUACGGGAGGCAGCAGUGGGGAAUAUUGCACAAUGGGCGCAAGCCUGAUGCAGCCAUGCCGCGUGUAUGAAGAAGGCCUUCGGGUUGUAAAGUACUUUCAGCGAGGAGGAAGGCAUUAAGGUUAAUAACCUUAGUGAUUGACGUUACUCGCAGAAGAAGCACCGGCUAACUCCGUGCCAGCAGCCGCGGUAAUACGGAGGGUGCAAGCGUUAAUCGGAAUUACUGGGCGUAAAGCGCACGCAGGCGGUCUGUCAAGUCGGAUGUGAAAUCCCCGGGCUCAACCUGGGAACUGCAUUCGAAACUGGCAGGCUAGAGUCUUGUAGAGGGGGGUAGAAUUCCAGGUGUAGCGGUGAAAUGCGUAGAGAUCUGGAGGAAUACCGGUGGCGAAGGCGGCCCCCUGGACAAAGA